UAAUAGUUAAUUUCUUGAAACUUAAAAAAUUUGGCGGUAUUUUAAUCUGUUCAGAGGAACCUGUAGUUUAAUCGAUAGUCCACGAUGGACCUUACUUAAUUUUGUUUUUCAGUUUGUAUACCGCCGUGUUUGUAGAUUUUUUAAAAACAAUAAUUUUCAUGAUUCUUAAGUGAGCAGAAAAUCAGGUCAAGGUGCAGCUUAUGAUUAAGUAUUUAUGGGUUACAAUGAAGUUAUUUAUACGUAUAUAGUUUUGAUACAGACUGUUAAAGGCGGAUUUGAUAGUAAAUUGUUAAAGAUUAAACAAUUGAUUUUAGCUCUAAAAUGUGCACACAUCGCCCGUCGCUCUUGUUAUUUAUAUAAGAUAAGUCGUAACAUAGUAGGUGUACCGGAAGGUGCCCCUAGAAUAUCAAUUUAAAGCUUAUUUAGUAAAGCACUUCAUUUACACUGAGGGGAUUAAUGUGCAAUUCAUUAUAAAUUGAUAGAAUUAAAUUAUUAAUUUUUUAAGU
rnacentral:rRNA from 1 species